AUCCUUUCGCAGUGGUAGUAUCGUGGCCUAUGAGUUUUGUCUGAGACACGAUUAUUGUUAGUUGAAAACUUUACCCAAUACCCUGCUUGAUGAUGUGCUGAAUAUCAAGCUCUAUCACAUAUUCUGAUAACAGG
rnacentral:snRNA from 1 species